AGUUUGGGCUUUAAGCAGAAGGGGAAUCGGAUGAGUUGGUUGCAGCCCUUUUCUUGGCAAAGUAUUCUUCAGCACGUGCAGGGUUCUUUGCGACGGAUGGCGUCACCCACUUCUUUCGACCAGGAAGAACAGUCAAGGAACAACCUGCAACCUCAAGCUUCUCCUUUGCUGAAGUCGACAAGGCACGAGCCUUGAAGUUUAGUUUCACACUCAGUUGUCCAUCACCUAUGAUGUGAAAAGAAAGAAAGAUGAGCAACUUAACACCAAUAGUAAAGAACAUUUUCUUCCUCCUUUUCAUACAAGAAGUGUAGUAUAUUCGUUCAUCUAGAUGCAUGCAUUAUUCUUGUGCUUAAAUGAUAACCACCACCUACGGCUUUUGCGUUGAACCCAUUAAUUCAAAUUAACAAGUUAAUGAGGGUACAUAUGAAUUUCCAAUUAAGCUAGUAACAAAAAGUUUCUAGGUUGAGAUGACACAAUGUAUUGAGAAAAUUAGUAGUUCGGAAGAAAGAGAAUGAUUGAAAAAAAAUUACACCUAUACGAACUAUAACGUCCCAUACCUAAUUAGUGGUGCCCAAAACUCAACUAUCAUGACUAAAAAGUUAAUUGUGCAAUAAUAAGUGUAACAUAUACACUUAUUUGGACUUCUAUACUUGAUUAUUUAUUACUAAUUGAGCGAAAAUCUAUCUAAUAUAGGUUAAUUAUGUUAAUAUUAUAGGUAUACGGGUACAUCCCCCACAUAAAAUGCAUUAUAAUGCAAUUGGUGUAGGCGUUUCAAGCUAAAAUUGGAGUUUAUUCAAUUCAAUUGAAGAUCAAUCUAAUUGCAUACGAUCAAUUGGAAACAUUAAUGGAGCAAUUGGAAGAGAUUCACAAGUGUCAGGAGCUAAAUCCAUUGUUUGAAAAAGCUUAAACACUCAAUUGCAAACUCUUGAAACAUGCAUUGAUGAUUGAAGUACAGUGGUUUAAAGAUGAAGUACCCAAGAUGCAAAUAAGAAGGGACUAGAGCUGAACAAAAGAGAAAAUUUAGAAGCGAGAAACAUUCUAUUCCUUGCAAUCGCAAGAAGUGACCCAUUACGAUUGCAAGACCUGCAGAACUGCAAGAUGGAUCAGUUCAUGCAGGCAAAAAGUUCAGUGUGAGAAUAUGGUUCUCUUAACUCCAUUAGACUUAAGUGUUAUUUGUGUAAUUCACAUGAAUUGUGCUUGUCUAGUUUUACUAUGGACCAUUGGAUGGGAUCGACGGUCGAGAUUAAAUCUAUUUGAGAUAUUUUUGUUGCCUUGUCUUGGGGGAGAAGUUUUGACUUGAAAGUUACCACAAAAAGGGCUUCCCCCACGUUUUUGCAACACAGGUCUUUUCUCUCUUCUCGAGUCGACCACUCUUUCCAUUUUGCACCUUCUGCUUGAUAGAAGGUUGAGGGUGCAUUGGUGGCGGUUUCUAGCGAGGUUCUUUGCCGGUUUCUCUCUCUCUCUUUGGAAGGUGAUUUGCAUGACAUGGGAGCUGUUCUUGAGCUUAUAAAUCAACCAUAAGGAAGAGGAGAUGUUGGUAUCCAUUUCAGCCGAGAUUGGGUUGUGUUUUUCCAUUUUAUAUUCCUUGAUUUUGUCUUGGAAUCUUUUAUUGAUUGAUGUUUAUUGUUUGAUUGAACUCCAAGGAUCCCAACAAAUUGUAUCAGAGCAAGGAGGAGUGAAAUCUGUCCAAAAAUCGAUCGAAACCUCCAAGGAAAUUGCGAUUCCCACUUUUGGCCGAAUCUAAAACUUCAAAUUUCGGCCAAACUACUGACUUUUUGGCGAAACUGACCCUGGACCCAUAACCAGCAGACAAAGGCGCUCCCUGUGGUGGGGCGCGUGACCGGAGCAGCGACCGACAGAUCGUGAACUCCGGCAACGACGCGUGGCUAGACAUUCCGACGAGCUUUUUUCGGGCAGUUUACUUAUUUCGAUGUCCUGAACGCACUGAUGUCGUUUGUUUUCUGUUUCAGGUCUUACAGAAAAAGUUGGACAAUUUUGUCCCUAGCUUGACGUCUACAGCAAUUCGGUUCAGAAACUUGGUGGUAUAUUUACUGUUUUUCAACAGUAGUUUGGUAAGAUUAUUCCAAACUCUCUGUUAGGUUAGGUUUGGUAUCCUUACCGAUUUAUGCAUGAUUAUUGCUUGGUUGCCUAUUUGUGAAUUCCGUUGAUUGAAUUCUUGUGAUUAAUUUGUAACCUGGAAGCAUAUUUACUUGCAUUAUAUACCUGUGUUUCAUGAACGGAUUAUGUCAUUGUUGUGCUUCAUUUCUAAAAUUGUUUUUUAACUCAGCAUUCAUAUUUUUUAGAUCGAUCAUCUGGAAAAGAAUUUUUCAAAACCUAUUCUGUUUUGUCCACGAGUACAGGCCACUCUUUUACAGAAUCUGUAAUGGGUUCGAGGGUUGAACUAUCGCAAUUCGAUGGAAAGGGGAUUACUCGAUAUGGAAACAGAAAAUGAGGGCCAUUUUGGUCCAACAGAGAGUUGCUAAAGCUCUCGAUGACCCUGCUACAUUUUCUGAUGAGUUAAAAGCUAAACCAACUGAAAUUGAAGACAUGAAUGAAAUUGCUUACAGUUCUAUAAUUUUGCAUCUAUUUGACAACAUUGUGAGACAAGUUGAUAGUGCUAAAACUGCUAGAACUUUGUGGACUGCUUUAGAUGCCUUGUUCUUAACUAAAACUUUACCUAACAAAAUAUACCUGUUGGAAAAGUUGUUUAGUUUUAAGAUGGACCCGGGGAAGGAUGUCGAGGGGAAUUUGAGUGACUUUAGCAUAAUUGUUAAGAGUCUAGCUCAUAAUGAUAAAAAAUUUGACGAUGAUGAUUUAGCUGUCAUAUUGCUAAACUCUUUAGCCGAAUCUUACAGAGAAAUGAAAAAUGCCAUAAAAUAUGGUAGGGACACUCACUCAAGCUAUUGUUUCCGAUGCUUUAAAAUCAAGAGAACUUGAAUUAAAAAGAGACAACAGAACUCAUUCUCGGGAAGAGAGUCUAUUUAUUAGGGGAAGACUUGAAAAGAAAGAAUUCAACUUCCAUAACAAGAAGGGGAGAGGAAAAUCUAAAAUGAAAUCUAAAUCUAAAGAUAAAAGCGGUAAGAAAUGUUAUCACUGUGGUAAGUUAGGACAUUUCAAGAAAGACUGUUCGACUGGAAAAGGAAACAAAAAGACCCGAACAAUUCUGAUGUUGAUAAUGCUGCUAUUGUUUCUGAAUUUGAUAGUUUGCCUGUCAUGAAUGUGUCUGAGGAAGAAUUUGACAAAAAUUGGAUUCUAGACACAGGGUGCACUUUCCAUAUGUGCCCUGAUAGGUCUUGGUUCUAUAACUAUAGAGAGACUGAACCUGGGAAGGUCUACAUGGGAGACAAUAAUUCUCAAAAUGUGGUUGGAGUUGGUGACAUAGCCACCAGAAUGUACGAUGGGGCCGUCACGCAACUCAAAAAUGUUAGAUAUGUCCCAAAUUUAAAGAGGAACCUCAUUCCUUAGGUUCUCUUGAAGAUGAGGGAUAUACCUUCAAGUCUGGUAACAAGAUUUUGAAAAUUAUGAAGGGUUCUCUCAUAGUUAUGAAAGGGCCUAAGAGGAAUGGACUGUACUAUCUUGAGGGUAGAACUAAAAUACCAGUUGAUUCUAGCCUUCUUCCUGUGAGUAAAGACAAAACUGAACUUUGGCAUAACAUAAUGGGUCACAUUGGGUUUAAAGGGCUAAAAUCUUUAAGUAAUCAGAAAUUACUUGGAAAAGAUGACAUCGAAACUAUGGAAUUAUGUGAAACUUGUGUCUUGGGUAAGUCCCAUAAGGUGAGCUUUGAAGCUAGCUCUCAUAGGACCAGCAGACCGUUGGACUAUGUCCAUGCUGAUCUAUGGGGCCCGGAGAACCACUCCACAUUUGGUGGAAGCAAAUAUUUCUUGUCUUUAGUGGAUGAUUACUCAAGAAAAGUUUGGAUUUAUCCUUUGAAGGCCAAGUCGGAAACUUUUGGGAAAUUCAGGGUUUGGUUAAAGUCUAUUGAGAAUCAGUUAGAUAAGAAACUUAAAACAUUAAGAACUGAUAAUGGGCUUGAAUUCUGUAAUAUCGGAUUUGACAACUUCUGUAAGCAGAAAGGUAUAACAAGACACAGAACUGUUAAAUACACACCUGAACAAAAUGGGGUCGCUGAAAGAAUGAACAGGACCAUAAUGAACUAAGUUAAGCGUAUGUUGAUUAGCUCUGGCCUUGCGAAAGGUUUUUGGGCUGAAGCUGCAAGUACUGCAACUUAUCUGAUUAAUAGCUCUCCGUCCAGCAAUAUAGGGUUUAAGACCCUACAGGAGUUGUGGACGGGAGAGCCUCCAAAUCUAGAACACUUGAGGGUGUUUGGAUGUGCUGCAUAUGCACACCAAUCUGAAGGGAAACUUGAGCCGAGGGCUGUCAAGUGUGUGAUGUUAGGGUAUCCCGAGGGUGUGAAGGGCUAUAGGUUAUGGGCUUUAGGGGUCCAAGUCAUUAAGAUUAUUAAUAGCAGGAAUGUAGUCUUUAAUGAAUCUGAGAUGCCAUGUCUAAAACAGAAAACUGAAGAAAUUAACAAAUUUGAAACUGAGAAGAGUAUUCAGACUGAGGUGAAGCUGACUAGGCUAAAUUCACCUACACCUGGGAAUGACAAAAAUGAGCCUAUACAUCAUGAAAAUGAAAAUGAAAUUGAAACUGAACCCGAAGAGGUGACUGAACUUCAAGAUAACAUUGAACCAGUUGAAGUUGAACAUUUUAAUGAUCAGCCAUCUAAUCAAGAUUAUCAGCUUACUAGGGAUCGGGGGAGGAGGCAGAUCAGGCCAAAUCCUAGAUAUGAAUCCCUAAACUUGACUGAUUUUGCCUUGUUUCAGGUGAAACCCUUGAACAGAUAGAACCUGCUAGUUAUAAAGAAGCUGUUAAUGAAAAUGUUCUGAAAAUUGGCUAAAAGCUAUGCAGGAAGAAAUGGAAUCUUUAAUGGAGAAUGAAACUUGGAAGUUAGUUAACAAACCUAAGGAUCAUAGGAUAGUUCAAUGUAAGUGGAUUUACAAAUUGAAAGAAGGAAAUAAUCCUAGUGAUCCCCUAGGUAUAAGGCCAGAUUAGCAGGGAAAGGAUUCACUCAAAAGGAGGGGGUUGAUUACAAUGAGAUAUUCUCUCUUGUGAUAAAGUACAAAACAAUCAGACUGGUUUUUGCAUUGGUUGUUCUGUUCAACUGGGAACUGGAACAACUAGAUGUCAAGACUGCUUUCCUACAUGGGGAAUUGGAAGAUGAUAUUUACAUGAGUCAGUCUCAAGGUUUUGAGGUGAAAGGUAAAAUAAACUGUGUGUGCAAAUUAGAAAGAUCUCUGUAUGGGCUUAAACAAAGCCCUAGACAGUGGUACAUAAUGUUCGAUACCUAUGUACUGAAGAUAGGUUUUAAAAAGAGUGAAUAUGAUGCAUGCCUGUACUAUAAUGAUAGCAAGGAGGGCUGUGAGGUCUACUUGUUGCUGUAUGUAGAUGACAUACUUCUAGCAAGUUCAAGUAAGACUGAAAUCACUAAGAUGAAGAACCUUUUAAAAUCAGAAUUCGAUAUGAAAGAUUUGGGGAGUGCUAAGAAGAUUUUGGGGAUGGUUAUAAAGAGAGAUAAGGCUGAAAAUAGACUAGUCAAUUCCCAAGAAGCCUAUCUAAACAAAGUCAUAACUAAAUUUUAUAUGAAUGAAUCAAAAUCUGUGACCGUUCCCUUAGCAGCUCACAUGAAUCUUUCUAGUGCACAUUCUCCUAAAACUGAGGAGGAAUUUAGAGAAAUGAGGAACAUACCCUACUCUAAUGCUAUAGGUUCCGUUAUGUUCUCUAUGAUAACAACCAGGCCCGACUUAGCCUAUGCUAUAAGUUUUUUGAGCAGAUUUAUGUCCAACCCUGGAAAGCUCCAUUGGGCAGGUUUGAAAUGGUUGUUAAGGUACAUUGUUGGUACAUUAAAUCUGGGUCUAGUGUAUGAAAAAAGAUCUGAAAAACUUACUCUAAAGGGGUAUAUAGAUUCUGAUUUUGCUGGUGACAAGGAUAACAGAAAGUCUACCUCAGCUUACUUUUUUACACUUGGUGACAAUUGUAUAACAUGGAAGUCACAGCUGCAGCCUUUAGUUACUUUGUCAAGUACUGAGGCAGAGUAUGUUGCCAUAAUCGAGGCGGCUAAGGAAUGUACCGGGUUAAAAGGAAUUUUAAGGGAAUUGAACUUCAUGCAUGAUACACCUGUUAUGUUUACUGAUAGUCAAAGUGCUUUAUCGUUUUGUAAGAAUCCUGUUUAUCGUGAAAGAACUAAACAUAUUGAGGUGAAGUGUCAUUUUAUUCGUGAGAAACUGUCUCAAGGUGAAGUUAAUCUUGUUAAAAUUCACACUGAAAGGAAUCCCUCUGAUGUGGGAACAAAAAUUCUACCUGCAGGUAAAUUUAAAUUUGUGCUUAUCUUUAUUACAUAUUGACACUGGUUAAUUUUUCUUGCAGGUAGUCGGCGAUGAUGAUGAACAGUUCUUCCAUGUGCAAAUUCGCAACCAAGAGAGAGUAUUAUGAGAACCAAGGUGAAGAAUGUGAGAAUAUGGUUCUCUUAACUCCAUUAGACUUAAGUGCUAUUUGUGUAAUUCACAUGGAUUGUGCUUGUCUAGUUUUAUUAUGGACCAUUGGAUGGGAUCGACGGCUGAGAUUUAAUCUAUUUGAGAUAUUUUUGUUGCCUUGUCUUGGGGGAGAAGUUUUGACUUGAAAGUUACCACAAAAGGGGCUUCCCCCACGUUUUUGCAACACAGGUCUUUUCUCUCUUCUCCAGUCGACCACUCUCUCCAUUUUGCACCUUCUGCUUGGUAGAAGGUUGAGGGUGCGUUGGUGGCGGUUUCUACCGAGGUUCUUUGCCGGUUUCUCUCUCUCUUGUUAGAAGGUGAUUUGCAUGAUAUGGGAGCUGUUCCUGAGCCUAUAAAUCAGCCAUAAGGAAGAGGAGAAGUUGCUGUCCAUUUCGGCCGAGAUUGGGUUGUGUUUUUCCAUUUUAUAUUCCUUGAUUUUGCCUUGAAAUCUUUUAUUGAUUGAUGUUUAUUGUUUGAUUGAACUCCAAGGAUCCCAACACUCAGCAUGUGCGAUUGCAGGUAUCCUUACCUUGCAAUCUCGUGGAUAAAAUUCCCAGAAGAUUUUGUUCCCAAAAUUGAGAUAUUCCUUCAAGCUUUAAAGAAGUUUGUAAUAAAAAACAUCAACUCUACAUCAAUUCAUACAUUAUUGUUUGGAGUCGAAGAAGAAGAAGAUAUCGCGGAGGCAAUUCAAGAGCCAUUGAAUGAAUUCAAGAUUCAAGAGUGUUUUGCAUAUUUCUUCACAACCUUUAAUUUCAGGUGAUGAUGUAUCGUUCUAAAUUGUGUUUCUGUAUUAUUACGAUGCUUGACUAGUUUUACAGAUGCUAGGAUAAUAUUGAACCCUAUGUUUUGAUAUUAAAUUUUGGAUUCUGACACUUUAAAUGUUGGCUUGAUUUGAAUGAUUCUUAGGAGUUUAAUUCUUUUCAAGUAAUUGGCAACUAAUUUUAUUAAUUUAUAAUUUCUAUUGACAGGCGGGAGAAUGAAUAGAAACUUAGCACAAGUAGCAAUAACUUUAAGUUUCUAUCUAUGUUGGCGAUAAAUGACUAUGCUUUGCAUGAUCUAAUCGAUUGUUCUUGUGCUUAAUGCAUCGUCAUAUGUUCGCAUUCGAAAUAUAGAUAUUAAUGGGUCAUAUGUGAGGAUAUGUUUGAUUCUACUUGAGAAAGAUUAUUAAACAAGAUAUGAACAUUGAUAUUCAUAUCCAAAUGAAUGUCAUCAAAUUAUGGAAUUAAUAUUUAAAUGGAUGAACGUAAGGAUUUGGGAUCCUAGUGCUUUUGUAAUUUAAUGAGUAUUCAUAAACGCUUCCUACCACUUAAUAGGAUCACUUAGGUAAGCUAUAGAUUUAGGUUGUUAAUACAAACCAUAUAUGUAAUUUUGUUAUUUGAUUAGAGUUAUGUUAAUUGAAAAUGAAUUAGAUAUUUAGUACUUGUUAUUUGAGAAGGCAAGCCAAUGAUACCUCUGUUUUCCUCCACAGCACAAGAAAUAGAAGAGGAUGACAGAAAAGCAUGAAUAAACAAUCAAUUGAGUUCUUAUUCACCAGUUCAUUAAAACAAAAAGGUUUUCAUGUUAGGAAGACUUGUAAUAGAAGCCAUUCACUUGAAUAAGAGAUUAAUGAAAAGUGGUUUAUUUUUAUUUUUUUUUAGAAAAGGAAAAAGAAACGAGCCUAUGAUAAGAUGCCUAGUGAAGUGCUAUGCCAUGUGCUAGAGAAAAAAUGAACAUCUAUUAGAUACAACAAUGUUAUUAAUUAUCUAUUAGAUACGCCAAUGUUAUUAACGACCUGUAUGAUGGAGCAGUCACAAGUAGAAAUGUAGUGACAAUAUUAGUAGAGAUUUCCCAAUUAGUAUAGGCAUGCAUAAUGUUUCAGUCAUAUGUCCUUAUAUUUUUGCAUAGCCAUCAGUCAUAUAUGAGUUUACUGACAUAAUCGAGAUGAGAUCCUUUGGUGUAUGUUAUCAGCUGAAGACAUUUACUUGAUAAGACAAAAGAGUAUUAAGUUAAACUGUGGCAGCUAUAUGUUUUAGAUUGAAUGAUAAGACACAAUAUAAGCAACCAAUCAUUAUGGUUCCAUUAGCUUCAACUGACAGUUUGUUGAAAUGGAAAAUUGAUUUUCAUGAGACGACAAUUUACAAGCAAAACACCAACAUUACGUCUCGACAGUUCGUAUGUUGUUCCCGAUAGAUGGUCUCUGUAAUUCUCGACAGUUGGAAACAAUAAUGGCUCCCAAAAAUACACUACCAUGAUUAUCCAUUAUGGACAUGCUGUUGUUGCACGUACGCAGAUGAUGUGACCAAAAUUAUCCCUACCACAAAAUACUAUACAUAAUUUCUUACAAAGGGGUAAUUUAUUGCACACUUGCAUUGCUAUCUCCAUUUUAAGCUUCUCCCCCAUUUCCUCCAUCAGAAUUGUCUGAGCUUAUGACAAUAAUUUUUGGAGGUGGAAGGUGAGCCAGCCACUCAUCCGAGUCGGACGCUGAUUAGAUCGGACCCCUAACCUCAAAGACUUGAUCAAGCACGCUGUUCGAUGACUUGGAUUAUGCACUUGACACUUCGUCGAACUCAGCACCAUGGUGCUCAACGCUUACCUCCUCAUCGUUCGAGGAUAAAACGAUGAGAAAUUCAGCGGAUGCAUAUUAGGGUUGAAUAGUUUGUUGCUAGUGGUGGAUGAACACAUUAUCUCGUAUCAACAAACAGUUUCAAUAUGGGAGUCUCACAAGAGAUUCUCUAGUCUUUCAAGGGGUGGAUUAUGAACAUAAAUUCAUGCACUUCUAUUUAUAAUGAACUUGUUGGAGGAUGAUUUCUUAUGGUCAAUUAGUUCCUAACUACCAACUUAUUUUCAUCACAUCUCAAAUUUAAUUUGAUAGACAAUUCGUGUGAUUCCUUGAACCACAAAGUGUACUUGUAUUGGUCAGACCUAUCAUUUCCUCAUUGGUUUUUUAAAGGAGAAACAUAUAAAAUGCACAAAUUUCCAUUUUUUCCGAAAGCGAGAAACUUAUAAUCUUUAUAAUUUCCAUUUAUAAACUAUUAUUCGGGUAUUGAUUAAACUUAUAAUUUUCAUUUUUUCGAAAGUGAGAAACUUAUAAAAUGAACUAAUUUCCUCAUUUUUCGAAAGCGAAAAACUUAUCAAAUGCACCAAUUUUUAUUUUUCAAUUGGAUACUAGUUUUAAUAUUUAGGUCGAACGAGUUCAAAAAGCAAGAAACUUACAAAGUAUGCCAAAAAAGUUUCCGUACCAACAUUUUCCCUACUAAAUCCACACUGUUUCUUUGACAGUGGAUGCCACUUGAACAUAACCAACAUUUCCCAAAAAAACAAAUAUACAAUAAUGUAAAAUAAAAUGUACCUCCAUGUAUUCUCCACAGUCAUCCGAAGUGGAACAUUGUCAAUGUCGCUCUUUCUUUGACAGGAACAUCGAUUGAUUCCACCUCCCAUUAUAGUUGAUGCCAAUGGUACAUCAGUGUGUACUUCUAUUCAGAAGUGGUUUGUGUCGUAUUAGUUACCAAAAUUUAAUAAUGGAAGAAAAUAAUAUAUUUUAUCAAGAUUUGAAGUAUAACAUCGAAACGAUACGUUUGUCUUCAACUAAACAUAUUUAAUGUAAAACAUAAGAAUUUGAUUUUGUAUAACUACCUCAUUAUUGAACUUACCAUCUGCCACAAGCGUGGAGAACUUCAUGACUGUCCGAUCAUAUCCUUAUGGUCUACACCUUCAUAUGAAAUAAUCAAGUUUCAAAUUCCAAGGUUAAGAAAUCAAAACAGUUGAGCAAUUGUUUUUUAAAACUAAAAGUAGUAACAUAUAUCAAUUGUCUCCUUUACCCAUCUAGUCAACGAACCCUUCGGUGGUUUGGGCUACCAACUUUCAGGUCGGUAUCUUCAUGCAAGACAAUCAUGCUUGAAAUCAUAAAGAUAAAAACUCAAAACAGUGGGACAAAUGCGUUUUUCAAUUAAAGUAAUAAUACAUACCAAUCUCCUCAUUUACUUAGCUAGCCGAUGGACCCUUCGUUAGUCUAGGCAAGCACCUUUUUGGUUGGUCACUUCUUUAUCUAGAAUGAUAGUUUAUCUCUACAGAUGAAUUCAUAACUAUUAUUUUUAUAUUUCAUGAAGUAAUAAUGGUGUUCAGAUUAUAUGUUAUACAUUUCAACCCCUAAAAUUACACGUAGAAGAGAAGUUUAACAAAAUAUGGCUUCUGCAAUCAACUGCCGAGAUAAGUGGGUCAACUGUUGAGAAUUUCAGAGCCUAACUGUCGAGAAUGACAUUUCAUCUCGACACAUGAUUUCGUUACUAUCAUAUUGACAUUUACGUUUCACAUUCAUAUUGAUUUUCUAAGACAUGAAGGGUUAAGUUAUAACAGACAUGAUAUGUGUUAUACUUAUAGCUUCAAAUAACAUCACUUUUCAUAUACUCAGCCCUAAGUUUUAUAUGUAAAUGCAAAGACAUUUUUAAGAAUAAAAAAUAGAAUGAUCCAACACUAAAACAACAUUCAAAUAACCCUGAAUAAUCAUAUAAAGACACACUUAAUCGAGCUUAUUUGUGCAUGUUGACAAGAAUAUACCCAGUUCAAUCUUACCUCAUUUCACAAACUCAAAAAUUAAACUCAAACUCAAUUUGCCUAAUAAUGACCAAUAACUAUUAUUUACAUGAAAGAAAAGUGAAAGCCAUAAUUAUAAGUAAUAAAUUCAUAAAUAAUUUACAUAAAUCAUAAUGUUAACAUUUUCAUAGAACUAGAAAAAUAGACAACAAAAAUUGAAAAAAUGAGACAUAUUGUACCAAUUUAGGUCAAAAAUGGUGAAGAAUAAAAAAAAAUACCCCUAAAUUUUAAAAAUUAGAAGAGAAGAGAGCAACAAAUGGAAAAGGAAAGAAAAAAGAAAACCUCAAGAUAUUAAUGGUGAUCUUCGUCGACAAUGGAUUGAUUAACAGUCAUUUGACUUCAAGCCUGGACAAAAUGGAGGAUUUUAAUGUCGCCUGCGGCCUUGAGCGAGAGGAAAUGAGAGAGUAAACUAAGCCAUUUAGAUUUAGGGAAUGAGAGAGAGAAGAGAGGAUAUUUACCUUUUUAUAGAAUGAGAGAGAGAAUGAAGUAUUUGUGUGUGUGUGUGUGUGUAUAAGUACAUAAGUAUUGAGGUGAGAGCAUUUGAUGUGAUGUUUUAAAUUUUUUUAUGCUAUUUUUCAUCUAGUCAAAUCGGCUCUUAAUGAAGGAUAUUUGGAUAUAUAUGGCAUUUGAAUUAUCUAGAGGGGCAAAAAUGUCCAAAAUUGACAAUCUUGCAAAGACUUUAAAAAAAUGAUAUUUUUGUAAAUGUAAAGCCAAAAAUUGAUUAUUUUAAUAAUUUCCACUUAUAUUAUUUUAUUAUAUUUCUAUCUUUUAACUUUUGCUUACUUAGGGAUGAUAAUGAGUCUGAACGAGACUAGGACAAUCAAGGAUUUCACGAUGUCGAGUAGGGAAGGACGACUGAGGGCGUGGGGAUGAGAGUGGGUCGAGGAUUAAAAAAUUUCGAUAUACGAUCUUGUUUAAUUGUUUAUAUAUAUUAUUUUCAAAUACUAUUUAAAUUGAAAAACAUAAACAUAUAAAUAAAGUGAUUUAGUGCAGGUUCAAAGUACAAAGUUCCUUGUACUGUUUACUAUUUGGAUCGAGCAAUGCAAGACGGGAAUGGAGAAUUUUAUCAUCCCUAUUUGCCCUUUUGAACACGUGUGAUCUCUAUUAGAGUUAGACACAUGUUGAUAGCCCUCCUUUUCUAUGGAACUUGAAAAAUAAAUUCCAUUUUCCAUCUUUAAGGUGUGUUUGAUGGCAAAAAAUUGGCAUAGAAUUCAUUUUCCAUUUUUUGCCUCACGUGAUGUCUUUUCUAGCUUUUUAGUGAAUUGCAAUUCCCACCAAAUAGGUGGGAUUUGCUUUUCCAACUUUUUUUUUUUUUUUUUUUUCAGAUUUUUUUUUUUUUUUUUUUUGGGAAAUUAAAAAAAAAUUUUAAAAAAAUUUUAAAUUUUUUGGGCAAUGAAAACAAAUUCUAGAAAUAAUUGUAAAAGAGAAUAUCUCUUAAAUUAACAAUUUCAAUGUAAAACAAGGUCAAACAAACACUAAAAUAUAGAUGAUUUUUGGUUUUGCUGAUUUUUUUUUAUUUUUUAUUUUUGCAAUGGAAACAAAUUUUAUAAACAAUUGUAAAAGAAGAUAUUCCUUAAAUUGACAAUUUUCAUGAAAAACAAAACCAAACGAACAUCAAAGGACACUUUAAUUUCAACAUUUUUUAGGUGGAAAGUUAUACCAAUCAAAUACUAUUAAUUGACAAUUCUCAUGAAAACAAUUUCUAGACAAUUUAAUUUCCUGGAAUUUAUUUUCUUUCCACUCAAAUUUCAUAUUUACAAUCAAACGGGCCCUUAAUACUUUAAAAGUGACUCUUCACCGAAUAAGUCAAGCUAAUUAAAAAGAAUCAUAAAAUUUUUUCCAAUACUACUAAUAAUGCAAUUCCUCUAAAAUUCAAAAAAUAAAAAUUACUUGAGAUCUACUUUCAAUUUUGUGGCACCCGUAGCAGAAUAAUUAACUACAGCACAUCGUGUUACAUGCUAAUCAAGUCGAAGCAUAAGUUAAUGAUGUUUUCAUUUACUAAACUUGCCAUUAGGAUGUAGUAUUUGAGCCGCUACAUCUAACAACAUGACACUUUUAUUGCUUUACCAAUUACCACAAACAUUUUUCACGAUCUAAGUCGAUCCUAUUUUGUUUGUGCCGUUGCUUCAAGAGUCACUUUCCUUUCCCUAUAAUGCUUGCUUACUAAAACCUUGAAAAAAAAAAUCAUUACAUUGUUUGAAAAUGACUUACUUACCUUCUAACCUAAAUAAUUAAAAAGUGAAAGAUCAAGAACAGCAUAAAAUUUAAUCAACUCCUCCUAACCUAAGCCCUCGUUUGAUUCUCGUUAUUUGGCCAUAAAAAUGAAAAAUAUGACCGUUAUUCAUUAAAUCUGGCCACCACAUUUGAUUUUCUAUCUUUUGUGUGGUCCCAUUACGACUAUAUUUUUUAUUUUCAUUUUUACAAAAAUGGAUACUAAAUGAGGCCUAAAUAAGUAAAAAAGUGAAAGAUCAAGAACAACAUUCUGAAGAAAUUUGAGUUUGAAACAGUGAAAAUCGGAAUAAAGAUUGGAAACAGUAGCUAAAAUUUUUCCAAAUUAAAAUUUUAUCUAUUUGACUUUAAAUCAUUUUUUAUUAGUUUUCAACUUAAACAUCAUUUUUAUGAACAGGAUAAAAGAAUAAGAAACUGGACAUACCCAAAAAAAAUUAAAAAUAGUGCUAAAUAUACAUGUAAAAUUAGGGGGAAAAGUCAAUGGGGGUAUCUAGUGGUUAGUUGUACUUUGAAUUUUGUACCUAAUUUUUUAUGUAUUUAUUUAUUUAUCGUGUAACGUUGGGGGAUAGUGGGUUGGAUUUUAACCUUAACGAAACUUUUCGCUCACAAAAAUAAAUAAAUAAAUAAAUUCUAAAGUGACUCGUAUAUAAAAUAAGGUAUUAAUUGAGAACACAAUAAGCUUUUUACUUUUCAAGUGCUUGUUUGUUACGGAUUAAAAGUCAAUUAAAAUCAAUUUUUUAUCGUUAUUUCACUAUUUCAGCCGUCAUUUUUAAAUCAUUCUCUCACAGGUAGGACCCACUUUAUUUCUAACAGUCAAAAAAUUAAUUAUCAAAAUCUCUACUAAACAAGCUCUAAAUAAAUAAAAGAAAUAACGGAGAAGGAAAAAAAAAAGGGAAAAUAAUAGGAUAUAUGACAAUUGUCCAUAUUGGUGCUGACAAUUUGCUAGCAAACUCUCAAGAUAGGAUUAUGCUGGACGGACUGGACAUUAAUUUCUAAAGUGACUCUUAUAUAAAACAAGAUGUUAAUUGCACUCCCUCCAAUAGGGGGAAACCAAUUAGGCGCCCUGUUUGAACAGAGUAUACGUGGUCCUGUCCAAAUAUCUUUAUCCCCCCAAGAUAGAAUGUUUGUUUGAUACAAAUUUUAAAUCGAUUAAAAAUCAAUUUUUUGACUGAUAUUUCACUAUUCUAGUCAUCAUUUUUUAAUUAUUCUCUUACAAGUAGAACUCACUUUAUUUCUAACAGUCAAAAAAUUAAUUAUCAAAAUCUCUACCAAACAAGCACAUAAAACCCACUAGUUUUUAGCAUUUCAAAUUACAAGAACAACAAACAAACUAUUUGUACUCAAAAUGAAACAGUAUACAAUGUGUAAUAUGCAAGUGGAAAAAUUUGAAUAAAUUCUACAAACUGGAGAGACCAAUUUAUAGUCGUCAGAAAGUUGUGUUUGAAAAAAGACACAUUUGUUUGGAUCUCAUUUGGACAGAUUUUGUCCAUGAAGACAUGUCUAAAAAAUGACGAUCGCCAACACAUGCCACAUGGUGCAUUCUAGUUCUCUGGUCGCUAUAUCACAUGUUCUAAAAUAUUUAUCUCACUUGUCACUUUAUAAUUAACUUGAUUUUAAAUAUAAAUAUGUAAAUAAAUAAUGAUUUUAUUUCUCUAGAAAGAUAUAUAACCGUCCAUAUAGGGAUGUCAAAAGAGUCGAGCCGCUCCUCGACUCGCUGGCUUGGCUCGUCAAAAUAGGGCUUGUGGACUGCUCGGGCUCGUAAAAUCACUAGCCCGAGCACGAGUCGAGCGAGCCGAGCUAGAAGGCGAGCCCACGACUGGCUCGUUUGAAGUGACCAUUUUGGUCACUUUUUCAGUGACCGUUUGGUCACUAAAACGUCAAUGAAAUUUUUUUUCCCUUCUACUAUAAAUACCCCUUAACCCCGUUUUUUUUUUUUUCAUAUCAAUUAUUCAAUCACUACUCCAACUCUCUCGACUCUCUUUUAUUAUAUCAAUUAUCGAGUUUUUACUUUCUUGUGCUGUAAAAUAUACAAUAUCAAUUCAAUUUUUACAGUUUAUUAGUUACAAUUUCAAUUCAUCUAAUUCUCACAAUCUCACUACAUUUAUAUUUUUCUAGAUAUUAUAUUUGGGUUUCAUCAUAAACAAUCAAACAAAUGGACCAACGUUCAUUUGUUGAGAGCUUAUUCGAUACGGGAUGUGGGCCACAUCAUGACGAAUCGCCUAGAACGCCGCAAAGUCAAUUUUCAAAUGAAUUUGCCGGUGUAAAUGACAUAUCCAUACCUGAAGAUGUUCACAUUCACUGUCAAGGAAGCCACAAUCCAAUUGAUUUGGAUGAUAUUAACGGUCUCGAAGCGGAACAUGAGGACGAAGAUGCCGAAUUAAACAUCCCAAAUGCGAGAGGAAAACGAAAAGGCAAAAAACAAGCAAAAUGUUGGGAUCACUUUAAGUUGAUUUCAACGGGAAAAGUCGUCAAUGGCCUUGGAGAAUCUAAAGCAGUAUGUAAAUACUGCCAACAAAGAUUGACAUGGCAAAAAGGAAUUGGUACCACACAUGUCAACCGUCACUACAAAGCAUGUGCAGCCAGACAUGGACUUCUUCCAGUUGGUCAAACACAAUUGCAAUUUGGCAAUCCAGGCGUCGGUUCUACGACUUCACCCCUAUCCACGUGGGUGUAUUCGGAAGACAAUACUCGAACCGGAAUGGUGAAAUCUGUUGCCGCGCACUGAUUUGCCUCUGGCUAUUCCAGACAAUCAACACUUCGUCUCGUUCGUGAAAGAAUAUUUGCAACCGAGGUAUGUUGGGAUAAGUCGAAACACUCUUCGUGCCGAUACAAUACAAUAUUUCAAUAAUUCAAAACAACAAUUAAUUAUGAAUUUGCAACAAUAUGAGGGUAUUAUAUCUUUAACUUCUGAUAUAUGGGAAGGGAUUAAUAAAAGAGCAUAUAUAGCUGCAACCACACACUAUAGAGACCCAUUUUGGUGCAUGUGUAAGAAAAUUAUUGCUUUUAGAAUUAUUGAGUUUCCUCACAAUGCUAAUAAUAUAUAUAAUGCUAUUAUCAGUAUUAUUAGAGAAUAUAAUUGCGAGACUAAAAUUCGGUCUUUUACUUUUGAUAAUGCUAGUGUUAAUAAGGUAGUCAUCGAUAAAUUGUGUAGGACUCUUCAACCUGAUUUUGGUGGGUAUUUGUUUCAUAUUCGUUAUGUGUGUGUCAUAUCUUGAAUUUAAUUGUGCAAGAUGACUUAAAAUAUAUAAAGGAUGAACUUCAAAGGAUUAGGAAUGCAUUAGUAUAUAUUACAAUCUCUCCUAGUAGAAAACAAGCAUUUGAAGAUUUUUGUGUCGAACUAAGGGUGACGAUUGCUAAAAUAUUUUUUAGCGACGUAGGCCAUAAAUGGAACUCUACUUACUUGCUAUUAAAGUCAUGUGAAGGUUUCGAAAAUUUAAUAAUUGAAUUUUAUAACAAUAGACACGUUAGAAGUGAUGACGAUGGUAUGUUAAAUAAAUUUGAUUGGAUUUUAGUUUUGAAAGUUAAAACGAUUUUUGACCUUUUUUUAUGAGAUCACAAAGAUUUUAUCCGGCAUUUAUUAUCCCACAAGCUGGUUGUAUGGUGCUAGAAUGUCUUUAUAUAAUUGCAAGAACAUUCCAUAAAUAUAAAAAUGAUCCUACUUUUAGUGAAAUUAUAAUUGCUAUGGAAUUAAAGUUUAGAAAAUAUUGGGAAGAACUGUCUAUGUUAUUUCCUUUAGCAUGCGCAAUGGACCCCCGAUAUAAUAUUUCGGGAACUAAAUACGUAAUUGAUCAAAUCAAUAAAACUUGAAUACUUGAUACACCUAUCACCUAUAAGAAUUUAGAGCAAACAUUAUGUGGAAUGUAUGAUUUAUAUGCGGAAAGAAAGGGUGUGAAUGUUAGUCGGGUACCCUCUGCACCUACUCCUUCUGAUGAAAUUGAAGAAGAUGAUGCCGAAAUAAUGAAUUUAUUUCACGGCAUUAAUACAUUUAGAUAUGAUGCAACUGCAAUGUGUUCAUCUAGUGCCAUGUCGUCUACAUUUGCAUCUCAUCAAAUAUCGAUCAAAACUCAAAAUGCGAUGCAUGUCGAAUUAAUUGAUUACUUCAAUCAUAAUAUGCCAACAGACAGAACAAACUAAAAAAAGUUCAGAAGAAGUAAUUAAAUUAUGGCGAAAGUAUGAAAGACGUUGGCCAAUUGUUUCUGCAAUUGCGAAAUAUCUGUUGACACAUCCAGUUAGCACUGUUGUUUCGGAGUUUGCUUUUAGUAUAGGUAAAAGGGUUUUGACCGAUAUCAGGAGUCGACUGAAAGAAAAUGUUUUGGAAGCGUUAAUGUGCGUGAAAGAUUGACAGGACGCUCAUUUUCGACUACAAGAUAAAUACGUUGAAAUUGCAUGUCGUCAGGUAAGUGAUAUUUGAUUCAAUUAUAUUAAUCAAAAUUUCUUUAUUUUUUAAUCGUUAAAUUUAAUUUUCUUUAAAAAAUUUUACAUGUUACAACAAGUUUUUUGUGUACAAUUUUUAACUCUGCCUACUUAAAAUUGAUGUAACCGGUCCCAAGCCCGGAUAAAGGAGGAGUGUUUACAUUUUAUCUACUUUAAAAAGAAAUCAAAAAAUAUAUUUUUGUAAACGUAUUUCAAAAAAUAAUUCGUCUUCAUUAUAUAAAUAUUUUAUAUUUUAUAAAAAAUAUUACAAUAUGAUAUAAAUAAAAAAUUAAAAAAGUGUCUUCAUUAAAUUAUUUAUAUUUUUUAACACUUUUUAUUUUAUUUAAAAGUGUUUUCAUUACAUUAUUUCAUUUAUUUGUGUUUUUCUCUUUAAAAAAAAAAGAAAAAAAAGUGAUGAGCCCACGAGCCGAGCCGAGCCGAGCUUGGGCUCGGCUCGUUGAAAACGAGCCACGAGCUUUGCUCGCCAUCUCGUGAGGUUAAGGGCCGAGCGAGCACACUACGUCCAUAGUUAUGUAUGUGGGCUUUGGAACCACUAGGAUGUAGGUACUCUUUGUUAGCCACUUUAAUUUUGAAAAAUGUAUUAUGGAAUGGUAGAUCGAUGAAGAAUGUGUGAAAAAAGAAUUUUUUUUUAUUUACGUGUAAUAUUAUUUUAAUGAAGAAUGUGUGGUUAGAAAUUAAUACCGUAGAAAAAACAAUGUGUUGGAAUGUAAGUGCUUGUUUGGUAAGGAUUUUAUUAAUUGAUUUUUUGACUGUUAGAGAUAAAAUGGGUCCUACCUGUGAUAGAAGAAUUCAAAAAUGACGGCUGAAAUAGUGAAAUAACGAUCAAAAAAUUGAUAUUAAUUGAAUUAAAAUAUCUACCAAACAUGCUCUAAAAUAAUGGAUAACCGACAUGGGCUUAAUAGUUUAUCUUUGGGGUAUAUUACUCUUGAAUUAUAAAUUUCAGUAUUUCAUGCCACUAGUCAAUUGACGUAUGCAUUAUUUAUUAUUCGUACUGGCAAGUGUAAUUCUUACUGUUACCUCGACUCUUAAAUGAAUGCUUUAUGCUAGUAUAUUGAGUACUUUUUGUAUUGAUUAAUUUUAUUGGGUAAUUAGUACAAAACGUCCUCAUUUUAAAAUGUUAUUGUGCAAAAUAUUCUCAACUUUCAUUUUUUGGCACUUUUAUCCUUACCUUCACCUUUUAUUGCGGAAAUCAUAAUUUUCAUCAAAUUUCUCAUGUAAAAUGACAAAUAUACCUCUUAUUUAAAUAAAAUUAAAAAAAAGUUAAAGAAUAAAUUGCAAUCAUACUCCCAAACUUUUUUAAAAAGUGCAAAUGAUCCAAAUAAAUUAUUAAAAGAGUAAUUAGAAUAAAAUGUCCUACCUUUCAUUAUUAUUGUGCAAAACAUCCAUACUUUUUUUUUUUGAUAUUUUUAACCUUAUUUUUAUAUUUCAUUGCAAAAAAAAAAAUCAUUAUUUUAUUUCAUUUUCUCAAUUAAAAACUGUAAAAUGACAAAUAUAUCAUUCUCUUUAAAUACACAAAAUAAAGAACAAAUUACAACUAUACUCCCAAAUUUUUAAAAAAAAAAGUACAAAUAAAUUUCAAAUAAAUAAUUAAAAAAGAAAAUUUUAUUUGAAAUUUAUUUGUACUUUUUUGAAAAUUUUAAAAAUAUAAUUGCAAUUUGUUCUUUAUUUUUAUUUUUGUUUAUUUAAAGGCGUGUAUAUUUGUCACUUUAUAGCUUUUAAUUGAGAAAAUGAAUGAAAAUAAUGAUUUUCGCAAUGAAAUAUGAAAUAAGGAUGAAAAUGUCAAAAAAUACAAGAUAUGAAUGUUUUUGCACAAUAAGAAUGAGAAGUAUGGACGUUUUGUGCUAAUUACCCUUUUAAUAAUUUAUUUGAAUUCAUUUACACUUUAAAAAAAAAUUUACAGUAUGAUUACAAUUUAUUUUUUUUAUUCUUUUAUUUAAAUAGGGGGUAUAUUUGUCAUUUUAAACGAGAAAUUUGAUUAAAAUGAUGAUUUUCGCAAUAAAAGGUGAAUGUAAGAGUAAAAGUGCCAAAAAAUGAAAGGUAUAGACGUUUUGCACAAUAACAUUGAAAGGUAAGAAUGUUUUGUGCUAAUUACCCUUAUCAGUUUUGGUUCAUUUUCAUGUUUAGAAUUCACUCGCAAACGUGAGAUACAUGAUGAAAAUGGAAAGAGAUUUGUGAAAAAGUCGAAGUUUUGAAGCAAAGUAUAAGAGUAUGGACCAGAGUUUUCAUGAAUUUGAACAUAUGUUUGGAAGUCAUGUUUGCGGACAUUGCAAAAUUCAAGUAAUGAAAAGAAAGAACAAAAUUGCAAUUAAUAUGCAGAAAACUUCAACCAUCAACGAGGCAAUCCCUACUCCAACAUAUAUAAUUUGAGCUGGAAGAAUCACCCAACAAUCAAAAUCAAGAAGCUGCCAAGAUUUCAAUAACCUUAAUUGCAACAAGAAGAAAAAAAAAAUUGAAAGAUAUGUUUUUCCAAUUCAUGAAGAAAAUUGAGAUGAGUCUUCAAAUUGAAGUCGCUAUAAUUAAGAACCUUGAGACAGAUGAGUUAAUUAGAAAUGAUGAUGGAGAAGAGGUAGCAAGAAGCUUUACAAUUACCACAAAAAAUCUAAAAGAAGUUUACAAGCUAUUAACACAAGACGUAGGCUGCAAUUACCUAAGAUCAUGGUUAAAUGACCAAAUACUAAAACAAUAAAGUCAUGAGUACAUGAAAAAUUUAACAGAACUUGUACAAACGUUGACGUGGUAAAAUGUAAGUGGACAAUGUUUCCCUUUUUUUCCCCAUCUUCCAAUGAGGCCGCGCCAAUCUGUAAUUUUUUUUUUUUGUCAAAAAAUUCUGUACUUGUAGCAUAAUUGAAGAUAAGCUGUUACAAACACCACAUAUUGCCCUGACUCUUCAAAUUCUAUGUGCCUUCUAUCCCCUUCUUUCAAAGGUUGCAAAAGCAUAAGUUAGACGUUCAAUUUUCCAAGGUCUUAGAUGUUUUAAAGAAGCUGCAUCGGCAAAAAUGUCACUCCAUCUUAAUUUCAUGAAAGAAAUAUUUCUAAGAAGAGAAAUCUUGAAUAGUUCGAUACGGUAAUACUAAGGGGGUGUACUCAAUGAAAACUUUUAGUGACUUUUUGGGAUUUAAAAAUUUAGGGGUAUUCAAUGUAAACCCUUUUUAGACUUUCUAAAAGUAUUGUUAUAUUCAAUUGAAACUUUUAUAGGCCUUUAAGAAGUCUUUAAAAAUUACUGUACAUUCAAUUGAUACUACGUUUAUAAACUUUUAAAAAGUCUCAAAAAGUUACGAUAUAUUUAAUUAAAACUUUUUAGAAAUUACUAUAAGUCUUGUAGUAUUCAAAUUUUAAUGACUUCUAGAGACUUUUAUAAAAGUAUAUGGAGUACUAACUUUUAAGUAGAAAGUACUCAUAUAAAAUCUCAAGAUUUGUCUCUUAUUAAUCACGAGAUUUUGGAAGACUUUCACAAUAUAUAUAUAUAUAUAUAUUUAUUUAUUUAUUUAUUUCAAUCUUUCUUUCCUUUUUCCUUUAUACGAACAUUAGAUAUAUGAUUACAAUUUAUUUAUUUUUCUAUUGGUUAUAUUUAUCUCCAUUUUCUAUGAAAUAAGGGUAAUUAGCACAAAAUGUCCUUAUCUUUUAAUAUUAUUGUGCAAAACGUCCAUACUUUUCAUUUUUUGGCACUUUUAUCCUUGCCUUCACAUUUUAUUACGAAAAUCAUCAUUUUCGUCAAAAUUCUUGUGUAAAAUGACUAAUAUACCCCCUAUUUAAAUGAAAUAAUAAAAAAGAAAAGAAAAUUUAAAGCAUAAAUUGCAAUCCUAUUUCCAAACUUUUUUAAAAAGUGUAAAUAAGUCCAAGUAAAUUAUCAAAAGAGUAAUUAGCACAAAAUGUCCUUAUUUCUCAUUCUUAUUGUGCAAAACGUCCAUAUCUUCCAUUUUUGACAUUUCCAUCCUUAUUUCAUAUUUCAUUGCGAAAAUCGUUAUUUUCAUUCAUUUUCUCAAUUAAAAGCCAUAAAAUGACAAAUAUACACUCAUCUUUAAAAAAAAAAAAAGAAUAAAUUGCAAAUAUAUUUUCAAAAUUUUUAAAAAAGUACAAAUAAAUUUCAAAUAAUUAAUUAAAAAACAAAAAUCACUUUUUUAAAAUUAUUUAUUUGAAAUUUAUUUGUACUUUUUUUUUUUGAAAAUUUUGGGAGUAUAAUUGUAAUUUGUUUAUUAUUUUUCUUUUCUUUAUUUUUAUUUAUUUAAAGAGAAGGGUAUAUUUGUUAUUUUACAACUUUUAAUUGAGAAAAUGGAAGAAAAUAAUGAUUUUUGUAAUGAAAUAUAAAAAUAAGGGUGAAAAUGUUAAAAAAUGAAAGGUAUGGAUGUUUUGCAGAAUAAUAAUGAAAGGUAUGGACAUUUUGUGCUAAUUAUCCUUUUAAUAAUUUAUUUGGACUCAUUUGCACUUUUUAAAAAAGUUUGGGAGUAUGAUUGCAAUUUAUUCUUUAAGUUUCUUUUCCUUUUAUUGUUUUAUUUAAAUAGGAGGUAUAUUUUUCAUUUUAUAUGAGAAAUUUGAAAAUGAUAAUUUGCGAUAUAAAAGAUUAAGGUAAGUGUAAAAAUGUCAAAAAAUGAAAUAUGGGGAUGUUUUGCACAAUAACGUUGAAAGGUAAGGACUUUUUUGCUAAUUACCCAAAAAAUUAUUGUAUUCUUAUAACAUUUUUUUUUCUUUUUUCAUUCAUUUUUUUUGGUGAAAAAUAUCUAUUUUUUAUUAAAUUAUAUAAUUUUAUAUGAAAAAUUUAUAAUUAAAUUUAAAUAUAUUGGUUUUUAUUUAUUGUUUAUUUUUAAAAGUAUAAUAUAUUAAUAAUAUUGAAUAUUAAACUUAUUGUUUAUCAUAUAUAUGUAUAAUUUUGAUUAUUAUUUAUUUAAUUAUGGCCUUAAAUUUUUAUUCUUUUUUUUUUAAUUAUAUGAGAAGAAGAAGGAAAAGGAAAAGUGGAAUUAUGGGAACCAAUACCUUGUAUGUGAUAAUUUCACGCUAUUGUACUAAAUUCACAUAAAUUCUUUUUGAAAUGAAAGUUUUUUGAAUUCUACAAAAAUCUAUAAAAAAUUUUAAAAUGAAAGUCUAUAGAAAUCUACGUAGGACUUCCACUAAUUCUAUACAAUCUAUAAAAAAAAUUCACGAAAUCCACCUAAGUCAUCACUUAAAAAAAGUUCAUCAAAGUUUGCAAAAGUUUUAAUUGAAUACACCCCCUAAAAGAAGAAUAUAAUGCUAUCUUGCAAAACAAGCUCUUCUAAAACUAAAAGAUUCGGUGAGUUUCAUAAUAUCUUACACUAAUAGCGAAUCUUUCAAUUUUAAUAGUUUGUGUGAUCUUAAUGCUAGCAUUAACUUGAGGCCUUUGUUUAUUUAUAUCAGGCUUGGUUUGGGGAGAUAAAGCAACUAGAAAUCACUUUAAUUGGCUGAUAGAUCAAUUAAAUACCAUUUGUUUGUGUUGGAGGACAUGUUUAUAAAAGUGAAAAAGUUUAUAUUUUCGAUAGAUUGCAUUAUGUUACACAUUGAAGAUCGGUAUAUAAUGAUGAUAUUGGGUUGAACAUUCUUUACAACUAGUUGGACCUUAAUUGAUAUAGAGAAAUGUAAGCUUAUCUUAAGGGUGAAAAAUGAAAGAGCUACAUUCAACAUGUUCAUAGCACCCGAGAAAUCAUCUAGUUUACUUGUCCCAAGUUAAAAAUCGUUGCAUCCUCAAGUGGUGGCUCUUCCAUAUUCCCAUCUCAUCAUUCAAUCUAGGAACACGUCAUUCUCUUCCUAUCAUUACGUUUUGAGCCACAUAGCAAUGUCUAAACAUUACUGAGGAAAAGCCCCACUCUCGUUCUUCAAUUCUUCUUUGCAUUCGUUCUCCUUGUGAUGCUUAAAUUAGUAAUCAAAUGAUAAUAUAAGGUAAUUUGAUUCAACCUGUUCAGGUGUAAAAAAGGUGAUUGAUUUCUUACUUACCACCAUCUCAUUUUAUAUCCUUCAAGUUCCUAUAACUUCUUGUCCACUUUCUUUAUUUUCAUCCCCGCUACCCCCCUCAACUUCUCUAUAAUUGUCUCAACCUCUCUAUAAUUGUCCACUUUAUCCAGCACCUAAUUCAUCAUUUUUCCUUUUCUUUUGGUCCUAUCUUAAUGUAGUGUUUGGGAUACAUGGAUUAUAUGUUGGGUUUAUGGACCCGAUUAUACUACAUAUUUUCACCUUCGAAUAUAAAUUGAGCCUCUCUAUUUUACCAUUUUGAACUCAUAUCCUGACACGAUUUUCUAGAAUGUUGAUAUUUGUUCUAGUAUGCCUCCUUUGACGAGGCUUCAAAUAUCGAACACGCGGCAACCAUCUAGCAAACUCAAUUAGACCCACACUCCACAUCAUCAUCCUACCUACCUAGUCAAGACCGUAUGUUGAGGUAGCCAAAGCGAUGCAUCACCUUAGUCGAGGUGCCAUGAGAGGCUAACCCUCCAUAGCUUAGGCAAGGUGGUACAACCUGUUGCUGAGUAAAUUUGAGGCGAUUAACUCCUAAUUAUAGAAGACAUAUCCCACAACCUAUCCCAUGAGAUCUUUCAUACAUAAUUUUUUUACGAUUAAUUGAUGUGAUAUCUUUAUAACAAACGCUUAACAGUCAACUCAGUCUACUUUUCAAAUAUUAGACUUAGACUAUAAAGUGUCUAGUUUUUAGAAACAUUAAAAGCCCAUGAACAUCGAAUUAAUGGAGUAACGUCAAGAAGAAGACACCUCGAUAAUCAGGAUUAGACUACGAGUAUUUUCAUCUAAUGAUAACUAUUCAUCUUCUACUAUUAUAAAACUUCACACUUAUUGUCAUUUGAAGAUAAUGCAAAUUUACUCUCUCUCUCUCUCUCUCUCUCUCUUUUUGUUCUCUAUCUAUCAUUGGUGCCCAAAUACCAUUGUGGUCCAAGUCUUUCACACAUUCCACACCCAAAUACGUUCCUUUAGCAACUACCUUUUGACGUACAAAUUAAUGCAACCCACAUGGUCCACACGUAAAAAUAGCUUUCUCGCUUUAAAUCUAAAAUGACUUUAUUUUUAUUUCUACAGUUCAAUAAUUCCAUUUGAAGAUUACAAAUUUCUUCAUAAUUUUUUAAAGGAAAGUAGAAUCAAUUUUGACCUGUAUUAUGGUUGAUAUAUUUUCUAUAUUUUCCACGACUGCUUUUUGACCUAUGCUUUCUUUCUCUUUUAUUUUAUUUGAGCCCCAUUUUAUUCAAAUAAUAAUAAUAAUAAUAAUAAUAAUAGUAAUCUAAAGUUAUUUUCAAUUGCAUUCUUCAAUAAAAUAAUAUUACACGUAAAUCAAUUUUUUUUUUUAUUUUUUAGCUAAAAAUUUUCAAAAUACUUUUUUUUUUCUUCUCAUUAAGGUGGGGUUCAAACAGGGCUUUAUUUCACAUCAGAUUUUUUUUCAUAAUUUACCCCAAAUCACGGGAGCAAACGGACGAAUUAUGAAAGCAUGUCAUUUCCAAUUCAAUGGCGUUGGUGUACUGUGUGUCCAAAUCAUUACCAGAUGAAAAGAAAAUUUCCAUGUCAAAUUCCUUUCCCACCAAUAGUCACACUGAGAUGGCAAAAUAUUCCUUUUCAACUUUAGUGUCCCAUCCCAAGGGAUGGAGAUGAGAUGGGAUGGGAAACCUAGUUUCCACCUCGAUUCUUAUUUUUUAUAAUCAUUUUACCAUUAUUUAUAGUUUAAAUUAAAUCAAAUUGAAAAAAGAAAUAAGUAAAUAGAGAAAUGUGACGGAAAAUUGUGAUAUGUUAAUCUUGUCCUAUCCUGACAGCAUCUCACGUAGUGAAAAUCUCAAUUGAUCGAGAUUGAGCUACCUUGAUCCUGUCCCUUUGCCUUUCAAAAUUGUUAUCUAUUUCGUAAUCAACAUUGGAGUAUUCUAUAAGCAAAAGUGAUUUGUUGUUGUGCUUAUGUAUAAUUACUAAAAUGAACAUGAAGUAUAAUUAUUAAUAUUAUUAGUAAUGUAAAAUUUAUUUAUUUUUAUAAUAAUAAGUAAUAUAUCAAAUAUUUUUAAGGCAAUGUUCUUACAAUAAUUAAAUUAUAAAAUAUCAUCUAUUAAAUCUCAAAAUUUAUUCAAUUAUAAAAUAAAAGCAUAAUCCCUAUAGUUAAAAAAUUCAAAUAAAUCUAUUAUCUGUAAUGCAUCAAACUUGGUUUAGGAAGGUUUCUCAAUAUAACCACAUUCGUGUAAUAGGAAAAAUAUCAAAUAAGCCUAAUUUAAUUUUAAUGUGGAUUGCGAAAUGGAAGAUGAUUUAUUGAAUACUAAUAAACUCAGGACAUAAAAGGCAUUACUUUACUAAUUAGGUUAAAAUUGGUCUUUUAAUAAUGAACAAAUGGAAAAGUAAAAGCAGAAUAAGGAUCAUUAUAUUGCCCCCAACAAUUUUUAUUUCUUACACCACAUUUUAAUUAUAGUUAAGCUUUUCAAUCUUUACUCAUUGUAAGAAUUAUUUAUUUAAUUUUUUGGUCAAUUUCUUAUCUUCGGUCUUCCAUUAAUUAGUACAUCUCGUUCUUAAUAAUGAUUUAUGCUAAAAUAUUUUUCAUAUUUUUUUUAUUUAAUUGUUUUCUUAAACUAUGAUAGAAAAAUAAGUUGUUAUACAGUGUUUCAAUGAACUUUUUGGACAUAAACUAAGAUCAAAUAUAAAAUAUGUUAACUAAUAAAAAUUUUGAGUAUAAAAAUGACAUAGAAAUUGUUAAGAGCAUAAAUGUUAUAAUGAAUAAAGACUCAGAGACUUAGGUUUAAUUAAAAUGUGGUGCAAAAAAUAAAAAUUGUGUUUUAAAUACAAUUUACCCAUUUGAUAAAUAACAUUGUUGUUACUUCUCAAAAUCUGAGGUUAGUAGAUUAUAUAUAUUAUUCCGUAAUCACUCUUUUCAAAAUUUACCAAUUCCCUAAAACUUUAGAGAUUUUUUGAUAAUCGAAAACUGGCCUUAACGACGUCGAAAUUCUGCUGACUAUCAACUGCCUCUCGAGAAUUGAAAAGUCGCAAAAUGCCAAUACCACAAUUUGAAUAAAUAAAUUCUCAAUUGAUUUAAUGAAAAGCACCAAAGAAAGAAACAAAUAUUCUGAAUGGAAUAAAAGGUUCCCCAAAUUCAUUGAAUAUUGCUCUACCUCUCUCAUAAGUGACAAUUCCACACAAGUUUGGGCUUUAAGCAGAAGGGGAGACGGAUGAGUCCGUUGCAGCCCUAUUUUUGGCAAAGUAUUCUUCAGCACAUGCAAGGUUCUUUACGACGGAUAGCUUCACCCACUUCUUUCGACCGGGAAGAGCAGUCAAGGAACAACCUGCAGCCUCAAGCUUCUCCUUUGCUGCAGUCGACAAGGCACGAGCCUUGAAGUUUA
rnacentral:lncRNA from 1 species